rnacentral:rRNA from 1 species
AGGACGAACGCUGGCGGCGUGCUUAACACAUGCAAGUCGAACGAUGAUGCCCAGCUUGCUGGGUGGAUUAGUGGCGAACGGGUGAGUAACACGUGAGUAACCUGCCCUUGACUUCGGGAUAACUCCGGGAAACCGGGGCUAAUACCGGAUAUGAGCCGCCUUCGCAUGGGGGUGGUUGGAAAGUUUUUCGGUCAGGGAUGGGCUCGCGGCCUAUCAGCUUGUUGGUGGGGUGAUGGCCUACCAAGGCGACGACGGGUAGCCGGCCUGAGAGGGCGACCGGCCACACUGGGACUGAGACACGGCCCAGACUCCUACGGGAGGCAGCAGUGGGGAAUAUUGCACAAUGGGCGAAAGCCUGAUGCAGCGACGCCGCGUGAGGGAUGAAGGCCUUCGGGUUGUAAACCUCUUUCAGCAGGGAAGAAGCGCAAGUGACGGUACCUGCAGAAGAAGCGCCGGCUAACUACGUGCCAGCAGCCGCGGUAAUACGUAGGGCGCAAGCGUUGUCCGGAAUUAUUGGGCGUAAAGAGCUCGUAGGCGGUUUGUCGCGUCUGGUGUGAAAACUCGAGGCUCAACCUCGAGCUUGCAUCGGGUACGGGCAGACUAGAGUGCGGUAGGGGAGACUGGAAUUCCUGGUGUAGCGGUGGAAUGCGCAGAUAUCAGGAGGAACACCGAUAGGCGAAGGCAGGUCUCUGGGCCGCAACUGACGCUGAGGAGCGAAAGCAUGGGGAGCGAACAGGAUUAGAUACCCUGGUAGUCCAUGCCGUAAACGUUGGGCACUAGGUGUGGGGCUCAUUCCACGAGUUCCGUGCCGCAGCAAACGCAUUAAGUGCCCCGCCUGGGGAGUACGGCCGCAAGGCUAAAACUCAAAGGAAUUGACGGGGGCCCGCACAAGCGGCGGAGCAUGCGGAUUAAUUCGAUGCAACGCGAAGAACCUUACCAAGGCUUGACAUGCACGAGAAGCCACCAGAGAUGGUGGUCUCUUUGGACACUCGUGCACAGGUGGUGCAUGGUUGUCGUCAGCUCGUGUCGUGAGAUGUUGGGUUAAGUCCCGCAACGAGCGCAACCCUCGUCCCAUGUUGCCAGCGGGUUAUGCCGGGGACUCAUGGGAGACUGCCGGGGUCAACUCGGAGGAAGGUGGGGAUGACGUCAAAUCAUCAUGCCCCUUAUGUCUUGGGCUUCACGCAUGCUACAAUGGCCGGUACAAAGGGCUGCGAUACCGUAAGGUGGAGCGAAUCCCAAAAAGCCGGUCUCAGUUCGGAUUGGGGUCUGCAACUCGACCCCAUGAAGUCGGAGUCGCUAGUAAUCGCAGAUCAGCAACGCUGCGGUGAAUACGUUCCCGGGCCUUGCACACCC